rnacentral:lncRNA from 10 species
ACAAAUACUAUUGUCUCAAUUUUGUAGAAAAAUGAAGCUCUUAGAGAUGUUAAGGGAUUGGCCAAAUCACUGUCAGGUAAAUGAGGGUGUUGGGUUUUGAUCUCUGGCCUGUCACUAGACAUCAUGACAGUAUCAGCAGACUGUCUCUCGAAGGCAUAGGACUGUCUCCUCUCUGUUGAUUUUGCACUGCACGGGACGGCCUCCUACUUACGCUGUAAACAGCUGCAUUUUAGUCUUUAGCCUUGUUAGAUCUCAGUGUCAGAAAAAUAAAUAAAGGCAAGAGGAGCCUGGGCUGGCGGUCGGGAUCUUUUCCCUCCCUCCGCGCCCGCCCUCCCUCUGUCCUUAAGGAAAUGCUACCAGACACCCCCCACCAGACACGCUCAGCCUUGGCGAGGAGCGGCC